AACGAACGCUGGCGGCAUGCUUAACACAUGCAAGUCGAACGAGACCUCCCGGCUUAGUGGCGCAGGGGUGCGUAACGCGUGGGAACCUGCCCUUAGGUUCGGAAUAACUCACUGAAAGAGGUCUUAAUACCGGAUAAUGUAUUCGGACCAAAGAUUUAUCGCCUUUGGAUGGGCCCGGGUUGGAUUAGCUAGUUGGUAGGGGAAAAGCCUACCAAUGCGAGGUUGCAUAGCUGGUCUGAGAGGAUGAUCAGCAACGCUGGGACUGAGACACGGCCCAGACUGCGAGGGAAGGGAGCAGUAGAGAGUAUUAGGGGAGGGGCCAAGGCCUAAUCCAGCAGUGCGGCGGAAGUGAGGAAGGGCUUAGGAUUGUAAAUCUCUUUGACACGAGGUGAUAAUGACGGUACCGGGAGAAGAAGCACCGGCUAACUCCGUG
rnacentral:rRNA from 1 species